rnacentral:tRNA from 1 species
GCCGAUGCUGAGCCUGCCGAACGUGCCUGGCUGUUAACCAGGCGGUCAGAGGUUCGAGUCCUCUCCCCGGCGCCA